GAACAGAAUCAGGGCCUUGUGCAGAAUAAGAGAGAGAUGGAAAAGUCUCUGGGAAGUGAGGUGAUGGAUUGAUUAAAGGUGAAGGAAAGCAGUGAGCAUCAGUAAACCCAACAAAGAACAGAUUCAGGGUGGAUCCAGUUAAAACAGUUUCACAAUUUUCUCCAAUAACAGUUUGCAACCAUUCUUGAAGGCUGCAGACUUGGCAGACUUGGCAAGGUGGAACAGGAGAAAUACAAAGUAUGGAGCUGAUAUGGUUUGGCUGUGUCCCCACACAAAGUCUUAUCUUGGAUUGUAAUCCCCAUAAUCUCCACAUGUCAAGGGAGAGCCCAAGUGGAGGUAAUUGAAUCAUGGGGGUGGUUUCCCCCAUGCUGUUGUCACGAUAGUGAGUUCUCAGGAGAUCCGAUGGUUUUAUAAGUGUUUGGUAGUUCCUCCUGCGUUCAUUCUCCUUCCUGCUGCCUUGUGAAGAAGGUGCCUUGCUGCUGCCAUUAUUGUAAGUUUCCUGAGGCCUCCUCAGCCAUGCUGAACUGAUGUGGAGCUGAGAAGCCCCGAUUUCCACUUUCUGACUCCUAGACUCAGCUGAUUUGAACCCCUCAGUGGAAUAGCAGCAGCCCAUCCGCAGCUUUCCUAGAAGUUCCUGACCUAGUAGCCUGAAAUGCAUUCUAAUCAAGUGAGACAAGGCUGUGGCUGGAAGACUCCCCGUGAGCCAGGGAAUUGAAGCUGCCUCUGCAAGCUGAAUUCGUAAUUGCCAUGAGAAGGCAACAGCAUCAAAUCCUCCAGCGUGCCAAUUCUUUAGGCGACGGACGAAUUGACAACUCCUCACCUUACAUAGGCACCAACUGACUGUUGGUCUUUGCCCAGCUCUGGGUUUGUACCUGCCCUUCUGCCCACAGCGAUGGUGUCAUUUUGACCUUGAUCUGGGAAUUGCUGUUCUUGUCAGCCUGUUGGCUCCCUCUGUUGAGGGAGACAGCUCUUUUGAGUGUCCAGGAGAUGGAAGUACAAAGGUGGACAAAUAUCUACACUCGGAAGGCAGACAAUAGUACCCCCCAAUUUCUGUUUGCACAUAGGUGAGAGCAAGAAAAAAAGGAGAAUACAUUGUAAAGAGUUUUAGUUCAGACACAAUAUGAAAGCACUUGAUUCUAAUGUUAUUUUUUUAAAAUUCAACUAAACACAUGUAGGACAAAUAUAGAACCAUAUCCUAGAGUUUGUUUUUUACUUUUUCUUUUUGAGAAGGAGUCUUGCUCAGUCGCCCGGGCUGGAGUGCAGUGGCGCGAUCUCAGCUCACUGCAAGCUCCUCCUCCCGGGUUCACGCCAUUCUCCGGCCUCAGCCUCCCAAGUAGCUGGGACUACAGGCGCCCGCCUCCACACCCGGCUAAUUUUUUUCUAUUUUUCGGUCUCCUGACCUUGUGAUCGGCCCGCCUCGGCCUCCCAAAGUGCUGGGAUUACAGGCGUGAGCCACCACACCCGGCCUAGCGUGGUUUUUAAAGAGCUUUAUUAUCCUGCUUUUUAAAACUUUAAUACAUUUUCCAAAUUUCUACAAAGAGAACAUAUCUCAACAAAAUUAGGAAAAAAUGCAAAUGAGAAAAGACGGAUACUCAAGUGCAGCUCAGUUCAGUCCAGUGCCAGCUGGCCAGGCCUUUUGCGGCAGGCAGCCUAUAAAGAUGCUCUAUAAAGAUACUGCACGCCUGGGUCUGGAUUCUCCAGGGAGCAGGUGGCUCAGAGAGAGCAUCAGUGACAAGAGCAAGGCAGAUGGUGGGAAGGCGAGGGUGUGGGUGCCACACGGUGGCAUCUCACACACUUCUGUUCAUUCCAUAAACAGGUUUAGUAAGCA
rnacentral:lncRNA from 1 species